AGAGUUUGAUCAUGGCUCAGAACGAACGCUGGCGGCGCGCCUAACACAUGCAAGUCGAACGCACCCUUCGGGGUGAGUGGCGGACGGGUGAGUAGCGCGUGGGAACCUGCCCCGAGCACCGGGACAACCGCGGGAAACUGCGGCUAAUACCGGAUGACGCCCUCUCGCGAGAGGGGGCCAAAGUCCCAUCUUUGGUGGGGCGGCUUGGGAGGGGCCCGCGUCCGAUUAGCUGGUUGGUGGGGUAACGGCCCACCAAGGCGGUGAUCGGUAGCUGGUCUGAGAGGACGAUCAGCCACACUGGGACUGAGACACGGCCCAGACUCCUACGGGAGGCAGCAGUGGGGAAUAUUGGACAAUGGGCGCAAGCCUGAUCCAGCCAUGCCGCGUGAGUGAUGAAGGCCCUAGGGUUGUAAAGCUCUUUCGCACGCGACGAUAAUGACGGUAGCGUGAGAAGAAGCCCCGGCUAACUUCGUGCCAGCAGCCGCGGUAAUACGAAGGGG
rnacentral:rRNA from 1 species